rnacentral:rRNA from 1 species
UACGUAGGGUGCAAGCGUUGUCCGGAAUUAUUGGGCGUAAAGAGCUCGUAGGCGGUUUGUUGCGUCGGCUGUGAAAUCCCGAGGCUCAACCUCGGGUCUGCAGUCGAUACGAGCAAACUAGAGUGUUGCAGGGGAGACUGGAAUUCCUGGUGUAGCGGUGAAAUGCGCAGAUAUCAGGAGGAACACCGGUGGCGAAGGCGGGUCUCUGGGCAGAGACUGACGCUGAGGCGCGACAGCGUGGGGAGCAAACAGG